GUCUCAAGCCUUCAGCCUGCCUCAGCCUCCCAAAGUGCCGGGAUUACAGAUGUGAACCACUGUGCCCAGCUGACCUUUUUGACUUUUAUGUAUCGAUUUCAGGAGCUGACUCAGAGAAACACACUCCUACCAAGCAGGUUUCCGAGUGCGUAAGUAUGAGGGCCUGUGAAUUGCCCAAGGUCAUGCCCCUAUGGAGGUAAUGCAUAUGGGCUGAGGCAGUUUGUUCACGGCAACAGGUGAGCAGAGAUCAAGUCCAGGUGCCUGACUCCUAAGUUAGUCUCUUUUUCAUGUCUCCAAACCACUUGUCUGUUCCCUACCAGACUAGAGGUCCCUUUAGAACUUGCCUUUUUAUCUUUAACUCUGCAGUGCCUGAUGCGUUACCACAUACAGGGUGUGCGCUCUGAAUAUUCAUUGACUACAUUCUACUAGAGUCAGAGAAACAAGCUCUCCAGCUCCCACGACGGUCCAGGCACAUAGUGGUAACAGGCCUAACUAGAGCUGAGCACUGCAAGAAGAUGUGAAAUAACCCUCUAUUUCUUUUGUACAUCUAGAUUUUCACUAUUCAACACAAAGAAUAGUUUCUCUAGGAAAAGUGCUAAGCCUCAAAUUGCAAUGUAUAAUACAUGGCACAACCUCUGCUGGUGUCACAGGAAACAAUGAGGUUUUCCGAAUAUGUCUAAGAAAUGCACUUAUUUCUACAAAUGGCACAUCGAUUGUUGGAAUUCUGUACCUAACCAACAUAAAUUCUGUGACUAUGAAGGUGGUAUAUACUGUAUGAAAAUGUACAUCAUUAUUUAAAAAUAGGCAUUUCACCAAAAUUGCUAAAUGAGAACUAUGUGUUCUAAGUUCUAGGUCAACUGUCAAUGGGAAAAAUACUUGAUUUAUUUGCCACUUACGGUAGUAUAGCUUCAAUGGGAUUCUUUCCUUUCUAACUGAGAGGUCCAGAGACGUGGUUCUCACUGGACUCGACAGGGAAAAAAAAGCCCCGUCCCAAGCCCCAGUGCAUUCCCUGGACCCAAACAGUCAUUGUAGCUAAGAGAGCAGAUUUCAUUUCAUCAAUGUACAGAUUUCUAUCUUAAAUGUUACUUCUGCCUGUUAAUACUGUAAGAAAUCAUAUAUCCGUAAAAAUAUAUUUAGGGCAAACAAACAUCACAGCCCUCUCAAAGCUUCAAAACAGAUGCAUAAUCGUUAUCUUCCCAUCUUAGCACAAAAGCUGGAGUUUAUAUGGGAUCUUCAGCUGGUCCAAGUUAUACGGAUUCUUGCCUUUCGACAAAGCAUGAAGACUUUAUUUGAGAUUUUUAAAUUGCAGGUGUGUUCUCAGUAAUGCAGAAUUCAUUUUAAAUAACAUUAUAUUUUUAUUCCCUUACCGGGAUUAUUGUUUGCAAGAAACUCAGUGUUGAGGCUUCACACUGGGAAGGUGGGAGCCAGGCAGAGGCUGACAUGAGGAAACCUCCAUGGGCCAUGACCUUGGGACAUUUGCAGACCCCCUGCCUCAAACACUCAAGAAACCUAUUUGGUAAGAAUGCAUUUCUCUGUGUCAGCUCCUCAGAUUGAUAUAUGAAAUCAGAAAGCCACUUUAAUAAUUCACAAGGUAGCAGGUCACAAGUCCUAUUACACACGCUGUGAGCAUGACCAAACGUUCUCUGUCUAUACACAGGGAAGACAGUUACAGCCAAAAGGUUCGCAGUAAUCCUGGGGUCAGAACGGAGAAGCCUGGUUGCAAUGACUUACCAGUGCAUCCAUUUUUACUGUGGCCCAGAACACUGGAAGUCUGCUGGCUUUGAGACCGACUCUUUCCUAAAUAGGGAUUGGAUGGGCACUGCCAGCAGUGGACUCUGUGUCUCUCCUUUUUCUGUCACCAAUAGCCAAGUGCCCCUCCCCUCUCCAUCCCAUUCCCCAGUAGGCAGAUUCUUCCUUUAUAGAAGGUGAGACACCUAAGCAGGUUGGUCAAGUCAUGUUGACCUGACUGUCUCUUUACAAGGACAACAUGUCUUUGCUCUCAUCCAUUAUUUGACUUAGGAGGGCUGGUAGUCAGGAGGCGAUUUUGCUGCUUUCCCUCCAACUCUUGAGAUUAAAGCGCAUCUCCCAUAGAAAAGCUACUGGUCCCUUUUCUACAUUAUAGGAACCCGGAUACUUGGUUCUGUUAAUCUUGCUAAUGGAAAUAGCAUUGUUUCCAUUUUAUUUAAUGAUACAGCUCUUUUCCUUAAACGCGUUAAACCUGUCUAACCAGCAUUCAAAUAUUUCUUUCUCUGAUCUGUAUGUCAGAUGAAUUUGAACUGUAAUUACAUUUUCCUGAUCCAUACUGCAGAAACAUCUAAGCUAACUGUGCCUCCGAAAAUGCCACACUCUUAGGUCAUCCUAGGCUGGAACUGUGGACAGAGGUCUAAGAGAGACCAACCUAUCAGCUAAGAAAAUAUCUUUGGUGAAUACAAUGCUGAUUUCAAAGAAUCUCAGAAUUGGAAGUGACCUUUAAAAAAUCACUGUAGCCCAGCCAUCUCUCAGAGCAAAGAUUCUUCUUAUUCUUGAGACAUCAACCCCUUUAAGAUUACAAAAGAAAAGGAAAGAAAAAGAAAAAAGGCUAUGAUCUUCAUCCCAGAAAGAUGCACAUAAUCUACAUAUGAAAAUCGUCACAACUAUUUUCAAGGGAUCCAUUAAGAAUUCCUGCCUUAGAUUCUUGCCGUAUUUGAAAAGAAAGCUAAGGUAAAAUUUCACAGCAAUCUUAGUACUGUAAAAUAAAGAGAGCUGCUUUAUUUUAAGCUGCCUCAUAAAUUACCUGUGGUCAUAUGUCUUAGUGUCCUCUCUGACAUUUAUCUCAACUUAUGAUUUUCUAUGCAGUGUUUAUAAGAUAAAUAUUUUGAACUCAUUGUGACCCUUGUUUUUAUCUUAAAGGUUGGAAAGAGGAAAAGUAAUGACAUUUUAGCUUUUCUCUUUGUAUUUUUACAUUCCGUAUCAUCUAUAACUCAGAGGGGUGAAAAAAUAAAAAGAAAUCCUCUAAGGAAAAGGCCUAAAAUGUCCUACUAGUAAAUGUAUCAAGCAUCAAUUUUCAGUUUGACAUUAACUGAGAAAGGAAAUGAUGAAGUAAAUUUUCUAAGUGUUGAGCUGUCACAGGAAAAAGGAUUUAUAUUAGUCUCUGGCAUGAAAUCAUGAUUUAGAUUUGUCAGUAUUAGGUACACAAUUUCUUUUUUUUGACAUUUGUAGGAGACUGAGGGGAGGGUUCCGGGUGUGUUGCAGUGUACACUUCCUUCUGCACUUUCAUCUGAACUGUUCAUGAAGAGCGUCCUUUUCAGCCUAAGUGUCUGAAGGAGGCUCACCAACCUGCCAAGAGGCAGUGCUAUGGCAGAUCUGCAGGAGUGCAUGAACCCCCAGCCAUACUGAUUUCUAAUUGAGCAAUGGCUUCCUCCACGCAUGCACAGGAAAACUUUCCUUGAGCUUCUUUCCAUUCAAUCUAGCAAAAUGGAACAUAAAUGGUCCCAAGUACAAGCCGGAUCCCACCUGAAGUCACCUAUUAACUUGGCUCCAUCCAACAGUUUGCCUCAUUGUCUUCACUUGCACACAAGGAAGGCCAAGCCAGGGAAACACCAAGUAGGCUGGAAAAAUAAGCCUAGGUGAUUGGUUUCUGGCCCAUCAUGCAAUAUUUCUUAUCAGGUUUUGCAACUGGGCUUUGGCUGGGCCUCAGCCCAGAGUCUAGGGAGAAUGGAGAGCUCCUCCUUAGAUUAAGUGGCCAAGGGGUGUGGAGGUUUUCCUCUCACAUUGUUACCAUUGAGGACCAUUUCUUCUCCCCUCCCAGUAGGAGAAAAACACUCAGUCAUAAUAAUUAAUGUACUUUGGAGCUAUUUGGUGUCAAAAAAAUGCCAUGAAGAUUAUAGAACACAGAAUCUGAAACAACCUUGAGAACAGUAUGCUGAGUCAAAGAACCAGACACAAAAGGCACAUCUUGCAUGAUUCCAUUUAUAUGAAAUAUCCAAAAAAGGCAAAUUCAUAGAGACAGAAUGUAGACUAGUGGUUGCCAGGGGCUGGGAGGAGGGGGAGGGAAGGGUAACUGCUUAAUUGGUCUGUGGUUUCUUUUUGGGGUGACAAAAACAUUGUGGAACUAGAUAGUGGCAGUGGUUACACAACCUUUUGAUUAUACGAAAUGCCACUGAAUUGUGAGCUUUAAAAUGCCUAAAAUACUGAAUUUUAUGUUAUGUGUCUUUUACCACAAUAAAAAGAAAAAUCCUAUAGGGUUCUUUUCUAUUAGGCUCGCAAUUUGUUUAGAUAAACAAAAUCAUGUAAAACCAAAACUGGGGAAGCUAUUUUAAUAAAAGAGAAAGGAAGAAAAUUACUGUCACCUGAACAAUGGUAAAGUAUAUUUUUAUCAGAGUUUAACGCAUGCAGGGAGGAAUCAGUCUUCAUAAGCCAAUGCAAUUUCUUCUUUUUACAGAUAAAGAAGUUAAGACUUUUGUGGUAACCUGGUCUUCAGGAGCAGACAUCUAGAUUUGAGUCUUUUUCUAGCCAGAUUUAUGGGCUAUGUGACUUAAGUGCAGUUACCUGGGCUCUCAGAACCUCAGUUUCCACAUCAGUAAACUGAAAAUAUCUAGGGCUGAUCUUCCGAAAAUAUCAUCAGACCUCAUGAUUCACCAAAGCCAAAUCAAUUAGAAGUUACUUCGAGAAGAGAGAAUACCACCAUGACAAAGUCUCAGCAGUGCCUCAUAAGAAGGAAGUCAAAAUGGAUAUUUAUAGGGUUUCGGCACCUAGGGGCACAUAUGAUUCACAGCAGGUCUUUCAGAGUGCAACCGGUUGAGAUUGGGCAGGCUUUGCAACAUAAUAGUGUAAGAUUGGCCGGCUUAGCAGCACAAAGGUCUUGAAGCAAGUCUUGACAAGUGAACUGUUGUUUGAAUAGCCAGCUGCUUGCCUGUUGUCUCAGAUAAAUUCCUACAGGAAUUUUCUGAAGCAAACUGUGCAGUUAUUUAUUGAUUUACAGACUUACUCCUGUUGAGGGAAGAGUUCCUGGAACAAACAGCUAAACUGUGAUAACACAGGUGGUCUCAGUUUCAGUCCUCAGUCUGUCAUGUCUGAUACUGGCUGGAGUUCCCAGAGAUGCUAUGGUCACGUGUCAAGCGCAUAGCCUGGGAACUCAAUAAAUCCUUCAUUUUUCCCCAAAGCAUCACCACCAUUCCCUGUCAAAACUCGCUCCUUGAUAGUGAAUCUCUGUCGGAACUAGAAGCAAGGUUUGUGCUGUACAGACUGGAACCCUUCCUGCCAUCCACUGUCGGACUGGGCUCCACUUCUUUGGUCAAAGGCAAAUUCAUUCAGCUACAAUAAAAAGUCCCAAGUCUUUUCACCACUCUGAAUGAGGCAGCAGCAGAACGCAGGGUUAUGAUGCUGACAGACCGAGGCCCUAGGUUCCCUGUCGCUUGAUUUGUGACCCUAGGCCAGUUAUCUCCCUCUUUCAGCCUCACUUCCUCAUCCAGAAGAUGAGGACGAUCGUGCUUAGCACACAAUACAUAUUCAGCUAACUUUUUAAAUUAAGUAAAUUGUUGUCUUAAAUUUUAUUUAAAUUUUUUUUCUAAGGUUGCAUAAAGAUGAAAUUUUCUUGUUUUGUUUCCAUUUGUUUCCGGUUGUCCCUUAUCUUCUGGGAGGACCUGGGUUACGGCUCCCUGGACAUGAAGGAACCAGUCUUUCAUGUGGGAUCCUGGGCCUGACCUGUUCAGAGGGAGAAUGCAGAAUCUCACGGGACAAGGGAAAUUCAAGCUUUCAAAUCUACAGAGCCCUAGGACAUGGGAGACUAUUAAGUUCACUAGAGCAGAAGAUCUUUAAAUAGUAGCCCCUGGUAAGUUGGAUUCUGCAUCAUUAAUAAUCACCUGGAGGACAGAGGAACAGAGUCCCGCUAAUUGACAAUCACCCAGAAAUAAAUAUAAAAAUCUCUGAAAUGCUAAUUGUUAAGUGUUUAUUGAGGCCCAUCAUAUGCCUGUGCUGAAUACUAAAGUACCAAAACAUUUCCAAAGAACUUACCAUCUGAUUGUACUCCAAAGAAUAGAGGCAAGUAUGAUAUUAUAUGUAAUCAAGUGUGAAACUGUGCACAAUGUGGUUCAAUUGAUGGCAGUUUGUUGUAUAAUCAUGUUUUGGUCACACACCUACAAUAUAAAGGGAGCUACUAUUUUUCUCAGUUAAAAUUCAAACAAAAGUCCAUAAUUUUCUGUGAGAAGCUAUGACAUCACAAUAAAGACACUGAUCAGGAUUUUUUUUCUUUCUGGCAUUUAGAUUUUUUUUAUUUGAAGCUCUUUUAAUGUCUUUGAAAUAUUUAAUAAGAAAUGCAGUUACUAUUAAAUAUGCAGUUAUUAGCCACAGAUAGUACUUCUCAUUGUAAAUAAAAGUUAUUUUCCCAGCACCUACUUGCUCCUUAAAUGUUAUUUCAAAAAUCCAUUCUGUAUGAUGAUACUGUUCUUAGGAUUUUACUUUUGGAAUCCAAAUAACAAUAAUGUUCCCUUUCUCCCCGUGAAACGCACCUGUUAGGAGCCCUGAUGACACAGAAAGAAUUCUCAAGGUCUCCUAGAGAAAAUACUCCAUCAACUUUACGGCCAACGUGAGAUUUUGAAGAAGGGAAGACAAGUGCAACCGGUUGAGGACGGCGCACAGAGGGCUUCUAAAUUCUUCUGCAGUUUGUAGUGCUACAGAUAAGUUUUUCCAUGGGGCAGUCCAACCUCUGUUGCUGCAAGACCUGUUUUUUUUUUUUUUAAGCAAGUCA